AAAACGACUCUCGGCAACGGAUAUCUCGGCUCUCGCAUCGAUGAAGAACGUAUCGAAAUGCGAUACUUGGUGUGAAUUGCAGAAUCCCGUGAACCAUCGAGUCUUUGAACGCAAGUUGCGCCCCAAGCCAUUUAGCCGAGGGCAUGUCUGCUUGAGUCUCAGGC
rnacentral:rRNA from 1 species